CAGCCAUAUGAUUCUUUUGUUACUUGUAUGUUUCUACAAUGCUCAGUAUAUACAUAUACUGUCAGAGAUAAAUAUACUGUGCAGAGGAAGGGAGUGACGUUUUUCGCUAACCACGCUAUCAGUUUCGUUCCGGAAAAAAAUUCGUUGAAAGUAAAUAAAUAGCAAUAAUAAAAUGACUUUACAGCUACAAAUCGAAAAGCUCACGGGACUCGAUAAUUAUAAAGCUUGGUCAUGGACAGUAGGAGCCUAUUUAGCCUCCGAAGAUUUAAUAGAGGUUCUUGAAUAUGGUCCCGGUAAAGAUAAAGAGUCCCGACUCAAAAACGCACGAGCCAAAUUCAUUAUUUUGUGUUUAAUCGAGACGAAGCUUUGCCAAUCUUUGAAGUACUUCUCUACAGCCCAUGACUUAUGGUACUAUUUGAAAACACAAUAUUCUUCUUGUUAAAACCAAGUACACUGGAACGGAUCUAAAACAAAUGGAUUAAUAAUUGAAUUAUAGACAAUUCCAAAAGUUGAAUACGGAACCAAACUUAGAAUUCAAUUCACAUGUAUUUUCCCUCGAUACACUCGGACCGUAUUCAGUUUUAUUUUCGGCGCAAAAGUUCCAUAUUGUUAAUGUUUCAUCAUUGCCGGAUGUCGCCAAUCGGGUACCGUCAGGGCUCCACACCACGAAA
rnacentral:misc_RNA from 1 species